UACAGAGGUCUCAAGCGUUGUUCGGAUUCAUUGGGCGUAAAGGGCGCGUAGGCGGCGGGGUAAGUCGGGUGUGAAAUCUCAGGGCUCAACCCUGAAACUGCACUCGAUACUGCUCUGCUUGAGGACUGGAGAGGAGACUGGAAUUCACGGUGUAGCAGUGAAAUGCGUAGAGAUCGUGAGGAAGACCAGUGGCGAAGGCGGGUCUCUGGACAGUUCCUGACGCUGAGGCGCGAAAGGCCA
rnacentral:rRNA from 1 species